GACAGAGGGUGCAAACGUUGUUCGGAAUUACUGGGCGUAAAGCGCGUGUAGGCGGCUCUGCAAGUCGGGUGUGAAAUCCCACGGCUCAACCAUGGAAGUGCACUCGAAACUGCAGGGCUAGAGUCCUGGAGAGGAAGGUGGAAUGCUUGGUGUAGAGGUGAAAUUCGUAGAUAUCAAGCGGAACACCGGUGGCGAAGGCGGCCUUCUGGACAGUGACUGACGCUGAGACGCGAAAGCUAGGGGAGCAAACGGG
rnacentral:rRNA from 1 species